rnacentral:rRNA from 1 species
GAUGAACGCUAGCUACAGGCUUAACACAUGCAAGUCGAGGGGCAGCGCAGUGUAGCAAUACAUGGGCGGCGACCGGCGCACGGGUGCGUAACGCGUAUCCAACCUUCCCGUUACUUAGGGAUAGCCUUCCGAAAGGGAGAUUAAUACCUGAUGGUGUUUGAAUUUCGCAUGUUAUUCAAACUAAAGAUUUAUCGGUAACGGAUGGGGAUGCGUGACAUUAGAUAGUAGGCGGGGUAACGGCCCACCUAAUCUACGAUGUCUAGGGGUUCUGAGAGGAAGGUCCCCCACACUGGAACUGAGACACGGUCCAGACUCCUACGGGAGGCAGCAGUGAGGAAUAUUGGUCAAUGGUCGGAAGACUGAACCAGCCAAGUAGCGUGAAGGAUGAAGGUUCUAUGGAUUGUAAACUUCUUUUGUAUGAGGUAAAUUAGAUACGUGUAUCUAACUGCAAGUAUCAUACGAAUAAGG